rnacentral:lncRNA from 1 species
UUUUUUUUUUUUUUUUUUUUUUUUUUGAGCCACUGGGCACAAGGCAGUUGGGUAUUCCUUUUGAUUAGCUUUUGUUAGCUCAGGAGGAAGCCUUUCAUCACUUCCCCCUUUGGGGGCUCAGCUUCCUCACCAGGCAUUCUGGGCCUUCACUCUCUCCCUCUGUACUCCCUUCUUUGACAAAGGUUUCCUUUUCCUGUUCCCUUAGCUUUGUCCUUUUUGCACUUUCUGUAAUCCCACCAGCAGCAGUGUUCCCUUUUGUUUGGAAAUAAGGACGAGAAAGAAAGGGAGGUGGAGAAGUUUUAAAAUUUUGAGAAAUGAAUAAAUCUGUUCUUUUAAGUCAUAAACCGCUGAAGGUCAGGUGCCCUUGUUAAAUAUUGUUGAGCACUAAUAAAAUCUCAUGAGCCUAAUACUUUUGAUAGAGCAUAGCUAUUAGGGAGUCUAAGCAGUUGCAGAGGUUAGGAUUUUCCUAAUAAUACUUGCAUUCAGUUCAUAAUCUUAUACUUAUUUAAACCUGUUUCUAGUCACUUUUCAUCAUAUCCAUGAAUAAUUACAGCUACUCAUUCUUAUAUCCAUAUAUAACUGCAUAUUUACCCCCUAGGUUUAUGCUUGAUUUAAACCUGGUACCAUAGUUAUUCCUAAUUGUAAACUGAUGAUGAGAUUUCACAUGUGUAUUGCAUAAUUUAAUUAGUUUAGUGUUUGUAAAAAUUCUUUGAAGGUAAAAUAUUUUCAUAAAUGCCAAGAAUUAUGAUUACUUUUGUUAUGUAAUUUCUAAGACUCAAUUUCUCUUGCAUAUAGUUCCUCUCUUAAGGAAGGUUUAUAUACAGUGCCUUUUAAAAAUAUUUCAAAAUUGGAAGCAUAUUUUUGGUUGUAGUAGAUACUGAAUUAUUCUUGCUGGUUUGAAUCUUGAAGAAAAUGAAAUGUAAAUUCAGAUUAAAUUGGUAUCUCUUUAGUACCCAGAAUAUGUUUUUGACAUUUGGAUACUGCCCAUUAAAUUCUUUGUAUUUGACUGUCUGAAAUGUAUUCUGAAUUUGUGUAUCUGUUCUGGGUUUUAUUUGAACUGAAUUUUAGUUAAGUAAAGAAUUUUAGUAUACUUUAAGUGGUAUUAAAUAAAAUGAAAAAGACUGAUUUCAAA